UACGGAGGACGCAAGCGUUAUCCGGAAUGAUUGGGCGUAAAGGGUCCGCAGGUGGCAGUGUAAGUCUGCUGUCAAAGAAUGAGGCUUAACCUUAUCAAGGCAGUGGAAACUACACAGCUAGAGUACGGUCGGGGUAGAAGGAAUUCCUGGUGUAGCGGUGAAAUGCGUAGAGAUCGGGAAGAACAUCGGUGGCGAAAGCGCUCUACUGGGCCAUAACUGACACUCAGGGACGAAAGCUAGGGGAGCGAAUGGG
rnacentral:rRNA from 1 species